AACAGCCAGCUUCUAGGAUAUAUUUGAAAGAACGGUUCUUUUUCAGAAAAUACUUGUGUGAUUUCAGGUACAAGACACACAUGACCCCAAAGAACAGUUUAUAACGUUCUUAUUACUCUGAAAACACACCAAUGUUCUUUCUUUAUCUUCAAUACUACCACACACCUUACAACAUUGAUUGCUUUACAACAAGUCAAAAAUCCAAACACCAAACAGAAACAGAAUACUUGGUAACAACUGAUCUUUUUAUUGUCUUCAUCAAUACGAUGAGUCGGCAGACUUGGAGCUCCCUCCAACUCAAUCAGCUAUAUCUCAGCACCCAGUACUGCUGUCAACAACGGAGUAACAUCAUCAGUAUUGCAAAAAAGAAUAGAUGAACUAAUGAGUUAUCUUGUUCUGGCUGAGCAAUGCAUGUGCAAUGACGACAAGUUCAUGUAGGUUCCAUGAGAAAUUCUUGCAGUGCAUAUACAUGAAAAAUGUUAUACAGGACCUGACAGCGUCAGAUUAGGUACUAUAUGUGAUUAUCUUGGUGUUGAUAUAUUGGUUUGUUUCUUGUCAGCCAUGCACAUAUGUAUAUUCUCAGUACAGAAAGCCUGUCCCAAAGGAAAACGUAUGCUUGUCAAUAGAUGUCUCAGAUGUGUCCUAACUACCAAGUACAGAGUUAUAUCCUAUUCCAAACUUGCAAUUAUCAAAGGAUACUGAGGAAUAUUUUGCUCACAAGUGCAAGUGUCUGAUCGCCUUCU
rnacentral:lncRNA from 1 species